CUGGAAAGAUGAAUCAAAGAAGGUAAUAAUCCUGUAGUCGAAAAUGUUGUCUCUCUUGAGUGGAUCCUGAGUACGACGGAGCACGUGAAAUUCCGUCGGAAUCUGGGAGGACCAUCUCCUAAGGCUAAAUACUCUCUAGUGACCGAUAGUGAACCAGUACCGUGAGGGGAAGGUGAAAAGCACCCCGGAAGGGGAGUGAAAUAGAACCUGAAACCGUGUGCUUACAAGUAGUCAGAGCCCGUUAAUGGGUGAUGGCGUGCCUUUUGUAGAAUGAACCGGCGAGUUACGAUUUGAUGCAAGGUUAAGCAGUAAAUGUGGAGCCGUAGCGAAAGCGAGUCUGAAUAGGGCGUUUAGUAUUUGGUCGUAGACCCGAAACCAGGUGAUCUACCCUUGGUCAGGUUGAAGUUCAGGUAACACUGAAUGGAGGACCGAACCGACUUACGUUGAAAAGUGAGCGGAUGAACUGAGGGUAGCGGAGAAAUUCCAAUCGAACCUGGAGAUAGCUGGUUCUCUCCGAAAUAGCUUUAGGGCUAGCCUCAAGUGAUGAUUAUUGGAGGUAGAGCACUGUUUGGACGAGGGGCCCCUCUCGGGUUACCGAAUUCAGACAAACUCCGAAUGCCAAUUAAUUUAACUUGGGAGUCAGAACAUGGGUGAUAAGGUCCGUGUUCGAAAGGGAAACAGCCCAGACCACCAGCUAAGGUCCCAAAAUAUAUGUUAAGUGGAAAAGGAUGUGGCGUUGCCCAGACAACUAGGAUGUUGGCUUAGAAGCAGCCAUCAUUUAAAGAGUGCGUAAUAGCUCACUAGUCGAGUGACACUGCGCCGAAAAUGUACCGGGGCUAAACAUAUUACCGAAGCUGUGGAUUGUCCUUUGGACAAUGGUAGGAGAGCGUUCUAAGGGCGUUGAAGCAUGAUCGUAAGGACAUGUGGAGCGCUUAGAAGUGAGAAUGCCGGUGUGAGUAGCGAAAGACGGGUGAGAAUCCCGUCCACCGAUUGACUAAGGUUUCCAGAGGAAGGCUCGUCCGCUCUGGGUUAGUCGGGUCCUAAGCUGAGGCCGACAGGCGUAGGCGAUGGAUAACAGGUUGAUAUUCCUGUACCACCUAUA
rnacentral:rRNA from 1 species